UGAACGCUGGCGGCGUGUCUAAGGCAUGCAAGUCGAACGAUUCUCAUUUACUUUGUAAUAGAGAAAAGUGGCAGACGGGAGAGUAACGCAUUGGUAACCUACCUCGAAGACGUGAAUAACUCCGCGAAAGUGGAAUUAAUACACGAUAAGAAUGGGGGGUCGAAAGACAUUCCCAUUUAAAGCUCAGGCGCUUCGAGAGGGGCCUAUGUCCCAUCAGCUUGUUGGUAAGGUAAAAGCUUACCAAGGCUACGACGGGUAGCGGGUGUGAGAGCAUGGCCCGCCUCACUGGGACUGAAACACUGCCCAGACUCCUACGGGAGGCUGCAGUCAAGAAUCUUCCGCAAUGGCCGAAAGGCUGACGGAGCGACGCCGCGUGAUCGAUGAAGCCCUUCGGGGUGUAAAGGUCUUUUCUGGGGGACGAACAAAUGACGGUACCCCAGGAAUAAGGGGCUGCAAACUUC
rnacentral:rRNA from 1 species